GUGUAGCGUAAUGACUAGCGCGUUGGACUUAUAAUCCAAAGGUCAUGGGUUCGAAUCCCACCUGAGAUGGCA